GACGAACGCUGGCGGCGCGCCUAACACAUGCAAGUCGAACGAGAGAGAGGGAGCUUGCUUCCUCAAUCGAGUGGCGAACGGGUGAGUAACGCGUGAGGAACCUGCCUCAAAGAGGGGGACAACAGUUGGAAACGACUGCUAAUACCGCAUAAGCCCACAGGUCGGCAUCGACCAGAGGGAAAAGGAGCAAUCCGCUUUGAGAUGGCCUCGCGUCCGAUUAGCUAGUUGGUGAGGUAACGGCCCACCAAGGCGACGAUCGGUAGCCGGACUGAGAGGUUGAACGGCCACAUUGGGACUGAGACACGGCCCAGACUCCUACGGGAGGCAGCAGUGGGGAAUAUUGCACAAUGGGGGAAACCCUGAUGCAGCGACGCCGCGUGGAGGAAGAAGGUCUUCGGAUUGUAAACUC
rnacentral:rRNA from 1 species